rnacentral:rRNA from 1 species
UACGUAUGGGGCAAGCGUUAUCCGGAAUUAUUGGGCGUAAAGAGUGCGUAGGUGGUUACCUAAGCGCAAGGUUUAAUCUUGAGGCUCAACCUCAUUCUGCCUUGCGAACUGGGCUACUUGAGUGCUGGAGGGGAAAGCGGAAUUCCCAGUGUAGCGGUGAAAUGCGUAGAUAUUGGGAAGAACACCGGAGGCGAAGGCGGCUUUCUGGACAGUAACUGACACUGAGGCACGAAAGCGUGGGGAGCAAACAGGAUUAGAUACCCUGGUAGUCCCU